rnacentral:misc_RNA from 1 species
UUUCCGUAGGUGAACCUGCGGAAGGAUCAUUAUUGAAUGAAACACUUCUGGCUUUAUGCUGUUGUGCUGGCCCUUUGGGCAGUGUGCACACGGCUCUGGUCACUUGUUUCUUCUGUUCCACCUGUGCACUGCCUGUAGACACGCUGUGUCUAUGAUAUUUGUUAACACACAACAAUGUUAGUUGGCAUGUUAUAUAUAAUAAUAAAAUAUACAACUUUCAACAACGGAUCUCUUGGCUCUC